rnacentral:rRNA from 1 species
UACGGGAGUGGCAAGCGUUAUCCGGAAUUAUUGGGCGUAAAGCGUCCGCAGGCGGUCUUAUAAGUCUGUUGUUAAAGCGUGGGGCUUAACUCCAUUUCAGCAAUGGAAACUGUAAGACUAGAGUGUGGUAGGGGCAGAGGGAAUUCCCGGUGUAGCGGUGAAAUGCGUAGAUAUCGGGAAGAACACCAGUGGCGAAGGCGCUCUGCUGGGCCAUAACUGACGCUCAUGGACGAAAGCCAGGGGAGCGAAAGGGAUUAGAUACCCCUGUAGUCCUGGCCGUAAACGAUGAACACUAGGUGUCGGGGGAAUCGACCCCCUCGGUGUCGUAGCCAACGCGUUAAGUGUUCCGCCUGGGGAGUACGCACGCAAGUGUGAAACUCAAAGGAAUUGACGGGGGCCCGCACAAGCGGUGGAGUAUGUGGUUUAAUUCGAUGCAACGCGAAGAACCUUACCAGGGUUUGACAUCCUGCGAAUCUUUUGGAAACGAGAGAGUGCCUUCGGGAACGCAGUGACAGGUGGUGCAUGGCUGUCGUCAGCUCGUGUCGUGAGAUGUUGGGUUAAGUCCCGCAACGAGCGCAACCCACGUCGUUAGUUGCCAGCAUUGAGUUGGGCACUCUAGCGAGACCGCCGGUGAUAAACCGGAGGAAGGUGUGGAUGACGUCAAGUCAUCAUGCCCCUUACAUCCUGGGCUACACACGUACUACAAUGCUACGGACAAAGGGCAGCAAACUCGCGAGAGCUAGCAAAUCCCAUAAACCGUGGCUCAGUUCAGAUCGUAGGCUGCAACUCGCCUACGUGAAGGAGGAAUCGCUAGUAAUCGCAGGUCAGCAUACUGCGGUGAAUACGUUCCCGGGCCU